rnacentral:lncRNA from 1 species
GCUACAUAUUUGUGGCAACCUGCACGCUUAAUAUUAGAACAAAAUGGUUCACACUGAAAACUUGUGAUCGAUACAACCGGAUCUUGCAAUCGCCUUGACAUUAAUCUAAACAGUCCAUGCCCUCAAGCCAAACUACGAUGAUGUAUAAUCCAUGACUAGCUCUCAUAUCAUACAUUUCCCAUGCAUCCAACUAGUGCCUGCCUUCAAGAUUUCCAGCUUGGAGUUUCCACGGUCCGUAUCACCAGUAAGAGCCCGCUACAUAGACUACACUAAACAUCACAAAACUGGUAGCCCAGCCUCUCUUAGAUAGUUUAACUCAAACUCAACAUCUCACUUGAUUAACUCCUGCAGAAUCAAGAGACACCAAUGAACACAAAUGCCAGUGACAAAUAGGAUCAUAUGAAAAAAAAAGGCAUUUUGUUCAAGUAUCAACACAUGACUCAUGAAACCAGGUUUAACAUCAAUCACGAUUCAUUUUUCUGAGAAUAAUCAAUGAUAUGCUCUGUUUUAUGUAUGUAUAGAUGAAGCUUCCAUGGACUUACAUUUCAAUGAUGUCCCAGCAAGGCAUGUUAGCCUUGCUUUUGUGUUGGCCUCUGCCAAUGGAGUAGGCUUCUCGCUUCCAAUCAUCCGAACAUCCCAGAUCCUUAUGAUGCCAUCAGAUGAAGCCGAG